rnacentral:rRNA from 1 species
GAGUUGAUAGACUGAUCGGCCACAUUGGGACUGAGACACGGCCCAAACUCCUACGGGAGGCUGCAGUAGGGAAUCUUCCACAAUGGGCGAAAGCCUGAUGGAGCAACGCCGCGUGUGUGAUGAAGGCUUUCGGGUCGUAAAGCACUGUUGUAUGGGAAGAACAGCUAGAAUAGGAAAUGAUUUUAGUUUGACGGUACCAUACCAGAAAGGGACGGCUAAAUACGUGCCAGCAGCCGCGGUAAUACGUAUGUCCCGAGCGUUAUCCGGAUUUAUUGGGCGUAAAGCGAGCGCAGACGGUUUAUUAAGUCUGAUGUGAAAGCCCGGAGCUCAACUCCGGAAUGGCAUUGGAAACUGGUUAACUUGAGUGCAGUAGAGGUAAGUGGAACUCCAUGUGUAGCGGUGGAAUGCGUAGAUAUAUGGAAGAACACCAGUGGCGAAGGCGGCUUACUGGACUGCAACUGACGUUGA